AUCUCUUCUCUCUUCUCCUCCGACAACCGCCAAGACGCCAAGGACUACCUCAAAGCCGUCUACGACUUGCAGACCGCCAUGCACUAUUUCAUCACCCAUCACUCCACUUCUGACAAGCUCGUACUCGUCCAAACCCUAAUGCAAACCGCCAUGAAAGGACUCGAAAGGGAGUUUUAUCAUAUGCUGAAGAUCAACGGAGAGUAUCUCGACCAUGAGUCUGUCUCCGUCUCCUCUUCCAGGGCCUCUAGAGCGAGCUUCUCUGAUCUUGAAGAUUACGAGGUCAGUGAAACCGAGUCCAGAAUCUCUGACGACGCCAUUUCCGAAAUGGAGCGUGUUUCUACUGCCGCCAUGACUGAUUUAAAAGCCAUCCCCGACCGCAUGAUAUCGGCUGGCUACAGGAAGGAGUGUUGGGGGAGAGAUGAGAGAGAGAGGUACUUUGGUCUCAAAGGCUUUUUUAUGGCUAAUGUUGAUAGAAGUUUGUUUGGGGGGUUAAGAUGAAAAAAGCCAAAAUUUUUAUGGCUAUUUUUGUAAAUUUCCCAUUUUUUUUUAUACGUGACUUAUUCAUUUAUUUAUUUAUUUAUUCAUUCAUUUAUGCCUCCAUAUUUAUUAAUUAUUCUUUAAAGUUUUAGAUUAUAUUUUGUGGAUCAAAUAAGUUCAAUCUAUUUAUAUAUUUAUAUAAAAUUGGGAUUAUAAGAGAUGGUGUGUCAUCGUUAUUUCUCAUUUUUGUAUAUUUUCUCUAUGUAAUAAAUAGAGAAAUUUCUUUCAGAUUUGACUUUUCAUUUUUUCAUAAUUAAUUUGAUUGUUAUUACACAAUUAAUAUGUAAUAGUUCAUCAAAAGACCCACUAUCUUCUCUAAUUAAAACAUUCUUGAUCAUAAAUUAAGCAAUAAUUUAUAAAUAUUUUUAAUUACUCUUCUCCUUUACCUCACCUUAAUUUAUAAAUAGCAACAAAAAUAUAAUAUCUCACGUAAACAUAAACACAAUAUAGCCUGUCGCACCAAGUGCCAAGCCUUGCUUGGUGCGACAGGCAGUAGAAACAUCUCUUCUCUCUUCUCCUCCGACAACCGCCAAGACGCCAAGGACUACCUCAAAGCCGUCUACGACUUGCAGACCGCCAUGCACUAUUUCAUCACCCAUCACUCCACUUCUGACAAGCUCGUACUCGUCCAAACCCUAAUGCAAACCGCCAUGAAAGGACUCGAAAGGGAGUUUUAUCAUAUGCUGAAGAUCAACGGAGAGUAUCUCGACCAUGAGUCUGUCUCCGUCUCCUCUUCCAGGGCCUCUAGAGCGAGCUUCUCUGAUCUUGAAGAUUACGAGGUCAGUGAAACCGAGUCCAGAAUCUCUGACGACGCCAUUUCCGAAAUGGAGCGUGUUUCUACUGCCGCCAU
rnacentral:lncRNA from 1 species